GUGGUAUUGUAUGCCCACACUGGUGACACCAGCUGGGACAAGUUACUCAUGGCAUCUGUAGCUCCUGAGCCCUCCUGUAUCCUCCCUGCUUCCUGGACCAGGUUACUCUACCAAGCCGUAUCAGUGCUGCCCGUCCACGUGAGUAUGCGUGUGGGGCCGUCCACUGGAGCAUGAGAAAACUAGAAGCAGCCACACAUCCAAAAGCAAGCAAGCGAGCAAGAAAAACGUGGUUCUCCUCCUCCCAGCAGCUACCAGCUGUCAACAGUUCCUCACAGUGAGGGCCUGGAUAACACCUCCCCGGUCUACACCAGAACUUCAGAUGGUUUGUACACCACCCAGAGCUGGAAGGAGUUCAUGAGUGCAUCGCCAUGUCCAUUCCAGAAGCCUGCAUCCCACAGACUUCCUCUUAUCCAGCUUUUACAUUCUUUCCAUCCUCUCUUCCUCAGUGUUCACUGGGCCUUGGUGGAGGAGGUGAGGUCCCUCUUAGGGCUGAACGCUCAGUCUUAUUCUAGCACUAUGGCUGGUUCUGUAGCUCAGCAUUGACUACUGCCCACUGCAAAAAGAAGCUUCCCUGGCCAAAACGGAGAGCAGCCCAGGUCUAUGGUGAUAAACAUAGGCAUUUAGAGGGCAAUUUGACAAUAUGACCAUUUUGUAAAAUAACAAUAGCAGGUUCUACCCUCGGGCCUAUGACCACCCCAGCCAUGGGCUUUGGACCAGCAUUACAGUAGCAGGCAUGAGAUUCCCUCCUGUGAAGCAGGCCUC